GGGAGUCAGGCUACAUGAAAACCAAGCCUUUUACAAAUUCUGCCUCUGUCUUCUCGAGGAGCUUAACAGUCCAAGACCGCCGAAGAGAAGAGAACACCGGGAAAGAAAGAACUUCUGCUUUCGCACCAGGAAGAUACCUGAUGCGCUUUUCUUUCGGGUUCGAGCUCUUCCUCUGAUAUCAUGCAGGCUACGGCUACCUGAGAGGAGGGACAUCUUACUCCUCCUAACCGCCACGCCAUUGUCCUUCAGCGAGAGCAGGAAGGAAGAGGACUAGCCAACGAGGCGUCAAGAGCCCCGACACAAUGAUGCCUCUUGUACUGGGUUUCUGGCUCGGUGACCACACCUGGGAAAAGCGGGGUAAAUUCACGAAUUUCUUUGUCUUCAUUGUCCGUUUCUUAAGACGCAAGCUGCGGUCAGAACCUGUUGCUCAGCCACGCCGUUGUUCAAACUUUUUGGACAUUUGUUAGUUGGCUAAGAUCAGGAAACGCGUUAGCGAUUGUGCGCUGAUAAAGGAGCUUUGGGGGGGUUUUCGAUGGGAAGUGAAAAUAACGCGGAUCAAAUUCCAGCUCCAUUUAAGCAGAAAGAAAGCUUACGAAACAAUAGAAGCCAACGUUCAUUCCUAAACUGGAUAGACCAGUUGGGGCAGGUAAAGGCAAACUGCCAGACUUGUCAAAGGACAUGAAGACAGAGCCUGACUCCUUCUCUUAGAUCAUACAACCUUCUGUACAAUGAGACAUCCAGCCGAAUGACGAGGGCCUGCGGCACCAGUUGAUAAUGCUGAUGAUUAACUAAAUAGAGUCUGGCAGAGCAGGUCUGCUGGGCUUUCUCAUUUCAUGGGGCCUGACUCACCGCAAGGGAGUGUUCUCAGGCGGCGGGCUGGAAAUUCAAGACCUUGCUUCUCUUUCCUUUUCAGCCCCCGCCUUCCAGACAUCUUUGGUUUGGUUGCAUUCUUUGAUUGGGGUACCUUUCAAGACGGUAAGAUUACAGGUGCGUUCUCCAUUUUGCUUCCCCCUGACCUUUUCUCCCUCUUUUUCCCUCCCCCUUCUCAACCCUGGGCUCAACUUUUGCCUUGCUUGCAGGGUGAUGAAAAACCUUUCAAUAUAUCAUUAACCCACCUUUUCUGCAAUCAAGGCUGCUUUGGAAAUUUUUGUUCUUCAACAAGAUUUUUUGUUUUGGUAAAAGGAAAGUUAACUCCAUUUCAAUUGUAAUAUAUCAAGAACGUACAUUUGAUUGACUGUAUGGUCAGUAUGGGGGCAAGCGUUUGGCACAGUGCGCUUAUGAAGUAGCCACGUUAUUCAGUAAAAAAGCGCCGUUUCAGUGACCUUCUGCAUACGGGCAGCCGGCUCAGGUCGAGCUGAACAGCAUUCCAUCAGCCUUUCAUCACUUCACUAACACAACAGGACGACAGCAACAGGAUUCCACCGAUGGGGGGGAUAGAAAUCCUUAUAUGUUAUUCCGUCAUUAAAUGCCAGUUUACUGUAACUGAAAGUCGUGAUAGGAAAAAUCCAAUUCACCUGAGAAGGUGAUUGGGCAACAGCGCCCUGUGGCUUGACUUACUUUUAACUGGACUCGUUUUUUGUGUGAAAUUAUUAACUGCCGUGCAUUGUGUGAAAAAACAGCCCUUCCUCCUGUCGUUGCCGUACCAUAGCUUUAGACUAGUCAGAACAGGUUUGGGCAAUCAUUAACAACUUUUGUGGCCCAGUGUUCUGUGACAGCCAGUGUGGGCUGGAGAGCACACCACAAGGCUUCUUAAGCACGCCAAGUGGAUGUCCCAGUCGUAGAACGCAGCUACAGUAUGUCUGCUGAACGAGCAUUUUUCAAGUUUGCCACUCGAGAAGUAGUCUACAUUGUUAUAAUUAGCAGAAGUGCGUCGUGCCUCUGUGCUGCCCUUGCAAAUGCCCAUUUAACAGUUACUUUAGUAAGGGACUACUAAAAAACUUGAUUAAUUGAAGCCCAACUAAAAAUGUUUAUAAUUGCCUAUAUUAAAAGUUUGAAGUGUAAAUAUAAAACAUAAACUAUGAUCCCCAAACCAUUUAAUAUCAUUUCCAAUGCUUACAUUACCCUUAAGAUAAAUGACCGGUAGAUGAUUAUGAAAAAUUAACCCGAAGUACGAGUAUACAUGCACGCGCUGCAAAGACUCUCUUGCUCUGCUAAUAACCCAUGCUAAAUUAAGCUCCUCCCCAAUGAACAAAACUUGCCUCUCAGUCAAGAUGUGUCACUUCAACAUGUAGUUCGUUGGCAUCAAUGUUGGGUUGUUGGCGUACUUUACUAUUAGUCAGUUGUUUGGUUCCCUCUUGUAGCACAAUUUUUUUUUUUUUUAAAAACGCAAAUAGGUGAUUUUUUUGAUUUUUUUUAUGUAAUUGUUAAUAGCGAACUGUAACUUUAAUCUAAUACCGGUAUGGUCACACAUUUGUCCAUCAAUGAGAGGCCUUUAUGAGUGUCUUUGAACAUGGGUGAUUAUCUCCAUCUUACGAGGCAGCAUUGGACUACAUCUCUUUUUCUAAUACUGCCUGGUAAUGAUGAUGAUAGUGAUCUGCCAGCAACAAGCGCACAAAGGAGGAUUAACAGCGGUGAUAGCAUUAGCAGCAGUGUAGUGUUUUACAGGCUGGAGAAGCAGGCUCUGAGGAUCCAUCUUACCAAACAGUGCUGGAUUGUACUACUGUUGUUCUAACACUGUCUGGUAACGAUGUUUUCUGGGGGACCACAAACCUGCAGUCUGUCACAUGAUUGCUUUGUUAAAUCUUCCCUUUAAACCUUCUAAUGACUGUUGACUUCGGUUUGACUCAUCUAAAGCAUGAUGCAAGGGUAAAUUUAGCAGGAAGACGGAAGGAGAUGGAUUGUGCUUGUAGGUUUAUAAAAGGCUGCUCGUCCACUGUGUUAUGCAGGCCAGGCGAUAGAUGUGUGUGAGAGGUAAUGCGACUCUGCCAGUAGCAAAAAUGCAGGAAAUGUAUAAGACCGAUAAGCACAAAUAUGACAACAGCGGCGUGCUACUUUUGUGACGUAACGCAGACACAGGCUCACAUUGAAUACAUGCACAUGGCCUCAUUUUUUUAGGUGGAAGAUAAAUGAUGCUAACACCUAUCAUUUAAAACAUUUUCAAUAUUUGCAUAAAGGGCCAUGUGUGAUAGCCAUAUAGUACAGCAUCAGUUUUACUUCUUCUUUACUUCCCUUUUUAUUGCCCUUUUUUUCCUCUUAGCUUUUAUGUCAACCCCACCCAAACCGGGUAAAAAAAUAGCAGUACGUUGAUUGUUCCGCUGGCCGUGCAAGGUCGUUUUUUUUCUCUCUUUCUGCCUACCUCAAACCUCACCGGCCUUUGUGCUGCGUGGCAGCCAUUGGUCCAACAAGCCUGGGCUGCACUGCGCAUCCAGAAACUGUUGUGUGUGUGUUUAAGGAGGGAGAAUUUCCCUUCAACACUGAGCCACACCUUUAUUUACCCACUCAGCUCCAUUACCCAAGCCACCAGGAACAGCUACCUUGUUGUCACCGAUUUGUGACCGAUGUAGAAAGAAAGGAGGUUUGAUGGUGCUGGUGUAUGAAAAUGCAACAGCGAGAGGAAUGUCAGGCCAUUUCUUCUGCACUGCUGCUUCCUCACAGGUCACCCUUUCAGCCUGUUGAUAGGCGUCUUACCAGACAUGGUUAGAUGUAAUUACUGUUGUCUAAUACUGUCUGGUAAUGCCGUCCAUUAAAUGGCAUUGCCUUCCACUGUCUUCCUUCUGUUCUCUCGCUCAAAUGCAUCUUCACGUGUGCGCCUUAGCAUACUUGACUGCAGAACUAUUAUCCUUGCACUGGAAGAGUGAUGAAUGUCACCGGGAUUCUUCCAUGUGACUUGAGUCAAAGUUUAACUACUCUCAACUGGGAAUGUUUUUAAGACUUUUAAGCAGGAAUAUUACCGUGACGACCGUAUAAGCAUGAAUUUAGUCCAUAGAAAGUUGUGUCCUCUACCCUUCUUAAUUGUAACUGAUUACCUUCCAGGAACUUGGCUUUUCUCCAGGUACAGUAGAUAAAUGCACACUUGGAAAUGCUUUAACCUCAGGCACAACAUGUAAUGUGAAAGAAUAUAUUGAAUAAAUAAAAUAAGAAUUCA